rnacentral:lncRNA from 1 species
UGAAUAUUUCAGCAGUUCCUACAGAGUUGAAGGACUUUUGAGGUCAAUGAGGCCCAUCUACCUCCUCCUGCAAGAAUCUUCUUUAUAGCAACUGUCAUUCAGAUUGAUCCAGUUACUAAAGCAUAGGAACACUUCUACAACUACCAUCAUACAUCAAAAUAUAUAUUGCCAGUUCUUCUCUGAUGCUGAUUUCCA